rnacentral:rRNA from 1 species
UACGUAGGGUGCAAGCGUUGUCCGGAAUUAUUGGGCGUAAGAGCUCGUAGGCGGUCUGUCACGUCGGAUGUGAAACCCUGAGGCUCAACCUCAGGCCUGCAUUCGAUACGGGCAGACUAGAAUUCGCAGGGGAGACUGGAAUUCCUGGUGUAGCGGUGAAAUGCGCAGAUAUCAGGAGGAACACCUAUUGCGAAGGCAGCUCGCUGGGACGUAACUGACGCUGAGACGCGAAAGCGUGGGGAGCAAACAGG